CUUUGGGGUUAAAUAUUGUUCUGUUUAGCUCUGUUGUUGCAGCAGCUCCAAGUUGAAUAGUUUAGGCCUUGCUCUAACUAAGAAUAUAUCUAAACAUUAUUGUUAUGAGUCGGCUCUACAUGUUGAUAUUGGCAUGUUAAAUGUACUAUCAGUUUUAUCUGGCAUGCUGCUGUGAAAAACAUACAAUGAAGGCCCAAGUGUUUAUUUUUUUUCUCCCAGAAUAGUUCUUAAGUUGUUUGAUGCUGUAAAAGUGACAACAACACCCUGACUGACAGCUCUGUUGACCAAUGAGGCUCUUCCAUCUUUGCACACAGUGAGGAGGAACGGGAGUCACAAAACUUCCUACAACAGUGAGUCUCUGCAGCAAACCUGAACAAGAAUCUACUCUACUGUGGACUCGAUGCUUGAUCAGUAAGUUCUGGGUUUUUUGGGCAAAGUUAGGAACAUGAUGUCAACAAAGGCCCCACCGAGGAAUCCCUGCUGCCCAGGAUUUUCCUCCAAAUACUCAAAAUGCCAGUGGGAUUUUCUUGCCUCAUUUAAGCACAACUGGAGUCGGUGUAGACAUACAGUUUAUCUUCAAGUACAGUCAAUGGUUUGUGCAGUUCAAAGAUCCCACUGAUGAUCCUUUCCAUCCAGAGCAGCAGCAGCAUAAGAGUCACCUCCAGAGGAGUAAAGCAGCCUGAGUCUCUGGGGCUCCGGGUGUUAAGUGACACUGGAUUGAAUUAGCAAAUAAAAUGGACAGGCUGUAGCCGGGUAAUUUACCAUGUCAGGGCAAAUCUAAUUAUCCCUGAGGUGCAGAUGGCAGUGUAUCCAUUACUAGAGCUGAACUGGUAAACGCAGGCCGCUGUUAUCUUACAAUCCCGAUUUCCUCUGCUUGGCUUUGUGGAGGAGGGAGCAUGAUAAUCAGAGGCUGAUUAAACAAGAUUACUGCAGAGGUAUUUAACACACUGAAGGAAGGCAGGACACACUCACUGACAGGUUUUUUACUUAACAGAUGUUUAAGAUAUAGACAGACAGCAGGCAGUUUCACUCUCUGCUUACAGUGUGAUUUACAGGACUCAACAGACUGACGAAUGAAAUCACAAACACAUUAAAGUAUUGAACAUGGUAUAGUUUGACUCACAUAAUUCAUUACUCUAAAAAAACAAUCACAAUUUCAGAUUAAGUUUGAAGAUAGAUAAUAACCUGUUAAAAGGAUGCCAAAACAUGUAUAUGAUGCUGAUUUGUGAAAAGUUUAAUGGUCAUCUUCAAAACAAAAAUACAACUUUAUAUAAUCCUUGUUUUUAUGGUGGAGUUUGGUUUUAACUUUUUAGAUGCAACAUCAAGAUGUGACAAGAUGUUGAAUCUGUUUGAAGAAUCUAUUAAAAAGUUGUCUUUGUUUGUUUCUGUUUGUUGUUUGCUGUCUAAGAAGUUUUGUUCUAUCAGGUGUCAGCAGGCUUUGGUGACUGCAGGAAAAACAGUCUGUAUUGAGACUAAGAGAUUAAAAACACAAUCAGACGGCCAUUUAUUUAUCUCAAUAAACAGAUAUUUGCAUGAAGGUCACAGACUAAUGAUCUGUUUUAGCUAAUCUGCUUGAUGCUGAGUCACUCAGGAUGAGCAGCAUUUAGAUUUCGACUUGUUAGAUUUCCUGACUUCCCUGAAUGCAUCAUCAAUGACAGCUCUGACCUCUAUUCGACAAACAAACAUUUUUAAAUUUUUUUUUUUGGUCUCUCGAUGACAGACCUAAUAAAGCUUGGCUUCUGAAUUUUUAUUAAUUACCACUUUAGUGCUUUUAUUUUAGCACGCUAAAAGCCUGCUUAAUGAUUAAAAAAAAAAAAAUUAUUAAUCAGUUUUUUUUCUGAGGUUCAUAUCGCUGUAAUCCGAAGUGAAGCCUAUGUGUGACUUCGUUUUUACAGCGAAACUGAGACUCAGCAGAGAACGAUAAGCACAGGUCAUGACUGGAUUCAUUUUGUGGUUGAAUUUUUCUCCACGUGUAAUCCAAACACCCUGGAGUUAUUUAACCUUGUCUUCAAAUGUGGGGUAAUAGUGGAACAAUGGGAACUUUUCUAUUGUUCAUUUUGUUUUUAAAGACUUCUUUUUUUCCCCUCUUUUCCUUUUAGACUUGUUAUGAGAGAUUGACAUCAGUUUAGCAACAAAUGUGGGCUUUUCUUGCUUAACGGCAUGGAGAAAGAUUCCAGGAAAGUGCAUGCCCAAACCCUCAGAUCGGUGAAAUACAGAAUUUCUUUUUCUGGUGUUCACCAUACAAGUUUUAUUUCCAUUAAGCAAGACACAGCUGGUACAGAAAUAACAUAACCAUUAAUGCAUGAAUUGCUAAGAAAUCUACCCAAAGCCCAAAAUGUCUGCUAGCCCAUGGGUCACCUUUGGGAAUUAUAAAAGUUUGCCAGAGUCUUUGUGGUGAUCCAUCAGAAAUUUUCAGAGAUAUUUCAGUCUGGAUUUAACUCACCAACUUUUCUAUCAGUAGAAAGAGUGCUAUGACUAGUGUUUUAAAUAGCUAAAGGUAUCAGCCAAUGGAGUCAAAUGUUGAUUUAGUGAUUUUCAUUUUCAUGCCCUCAGCAGGCGUCUUCCCUCAAUGAUACCUCGGCAUCUCACCCAUCCUCUAACACAAAUAUUUAGGUUCCUCUGAUACAUCUAAUAAAACUGUUUAGAGUCCCCCCAGUGCUUCACCUCAGAGGAAGGACGGAAAGUAUCCACAGUGCGGGGACCAGAGGAAGUGAAGAGCAGAGAGAGAUUGAAUGUCUAUGCACACCUUAUGUAAAUAUUUGAGACAUCUGCAGAUUCUGGGUAACCUUCUCUGUCUGAGAAAGAUUAACUGUUUCCUGUGAUUCUGACUCUCCCUCACCUUCCUGAUAAAUGCUGCUUCAUUUGCUGUUCUUAUCUCUGCUCUGUGUAACCUUUGUCUGAUGCCUUAAAGGAAACUUUGACUUUCUGUACCUGCAGAGUUUCUCUUUAUAUAAAAGGUUAUUGGAAACCAGAGGAUCUUUAAAGGAGGAAAUGAAAAAUUAGAGCUUCCAGUCUGGUUUAGGUAAUAUCAGAAUAUUAGGUAAUAUCAACUGCCUUUUAGAAAAGUUUGUUAUUCUUUGUUUUAGCAGCAGACCAAUAGAGUUGUACAUACCACUUAAGACUUUGGAGUUGAGUUUGAUUUUCUUUUUUUAAGUCAGUUGAAUUACAUUGUAAAGUUACCCUUGUUCGCAGAGGCUGAUAACCUUACUCCUGUACCACCCUCAGCUCCUUUUAGGCCAAAGAGUCAGCACUGAAGCAAGGCUAUCAACAGACAGGAUUGACUUUUGGAUGUAAUUUGGCUGUUUUCAAGAAGUCUCCUCCAAAUACAAAUUUUCAGUUUUUCCACGAUUUACACAUACAUGAUGCACCACCUGCAAUGCACUGAUCAGCUGUUUGCUUUAAGGGGCAUCAAAUGUCAUGUCAAGGAGACAAGAAAGUUUUUCUGCAAAACCUUUUGCUAAUUUAAUCAAACAUUAAAAAACCUUGUGGUUACUCAGAAGCUUGCCAAAGAGCAAAUUUAAGCUGGUGUAGGACACUCACUCCAUGACCAUGAAAAUGUGAUUCAUGCUUACAUUACUUUCUGCCUGGAUGAGUCCCCAUACAGUGGGGUCAAUCAGUUCUUCUCCUCCUCAUGUCUGCAGCAUGUGCAGGAGGCUGCUGCCAGAUUUUAACUCAUUCCUGAAGGCAUGAGCAUAUCUUCUUCUCAUUUGUCUACAUCCUCAGUCCCUAUACAUCUUAGACAGCUUUAAACUUGAAGCCAACUGUCUCCACGCUCUAAUUAGUGUUGAUGCAAACUGUUGUUAUUCUGAUUUAUACCAUACACUUCAAUGCAAACAUGCAUGUCCACCGAGAGGUCUCCUCUGGGCACUUCUUGGGCUGUUUGCCCACACAAGGUUAUUUGUUGGUGAAAUCGUUUUUCUUGUUGUUGUUGUUGUUUUUUUUUCCAUUAUCUCAAAUUCUGCAAAUUCAAACAUGAAUAAACUCAAUUUCUUUUUUGAUAGAAAUUGAUGCCUCUGUGUGUAAGGCACUUUUGUGUGUCCCUGUUUUUCCUCAAUGAAUAAAAACUCAUUUGAGAGGACAGUUUCUGAGAGUAAAGAGGAAAGGGGAGUGAUGAUGUGUUGCUCUGCUUUCAGUUUCCAGACU